AUACGGAGGGUGCAAGCGUUGUUCGGAAUUACUGGGCGUAAAGCGCGCGUAGGUGGUCUGUUAUGUCAGAUGUGAAAGUCCACAGCUCAACCGUGGAAGUGCAUUUGAAACUGGCAGACUUGAGUACUGGAGGGGGUAGUGGAAUUCCCGGUGUAGAGGUGAAAUUCGUAGAUAUCGGGAGGAAUACCGGUGGCGAAGGCGACUACCUGGCCAGAUACUGACACUGAGGUGCGAAAGCGUGGGGAGCGAACAGGAUUAGAAACCCUAGUAGUCC
rnacentral:rRNA from 1 species